ACCAAGGCGAUGAUCAGUAGCUGGUCUGAGAGGAUGAUCAGCCACACUGGGACUGAGACACGGCCCAGACUCCUACGGGAGGCAGCAGUGAGGAAUUUUCCGCAAUGGGCGAAAGCCUGACGGAGCAAUGCCGCGUGAAGGAUGAAGGCCUAUGGGUUGUAAACUUCUUUUCUCAGAGAAGAAUUCUGACGGUAUCUGAGGAAUAAGCAUCGGCUAACUCUGUGCCAGCAGCCGCGGUAAGACAGAGGAUGCAAGCGUUAUCCGGAAUGAUUGGGCGUAAAGCGUCUGUAGGUGGCUUAAAAAGUCUCCUGUCAAAGAUCAGGGCUUAACCCUGGGCCGGCAGGAGAAACUCUUAGGCUCGAGUUUGGUAGGGGCAGAGGGAAUUCCCGGUGGAGCGGUGAAAUGCGUAGAGAUCGGGAGGAACACCAAAGGCGAAAGCACUCUGCUGGGCCACAACUGACACUGAGAGACGAAAGCGAGGGGAGCAAAAGGGAUUAGAUACCCCUGUAGUCCUCGCCGUAAACGAUGGAUACUAGAUGUUGGAUAGGUUAAAGCAUUCAGUAUCGUAGCU
rnacentral:rRNA from 1 species